GAUCGAACCAGUAAGUCCAUUUUCAUAUAAGUAAAUGCUCUGUAAAGAGACGCAGUCGCCGAGCUCCGGUGGUAUCUGGCCGGAGAGAAGAGCAGUGUAAAGAGCAAUUGUCUCCAACUUUCUCAACCGGCCAAGACUGACAGGAACAGACCCUUGAAGGUUUUUAUUUCCGCCGGCGCGUAUCACUUCAAGCUGUUGUAAUCUUCCAAUGGUGAUCGGAAUAAACCCACUAAGCUGAUUAUCAUAAAGAAUAAGCCAUCUCAAGCUCGUUAAAUUACCAAUUUCAAUCGGAAUUGAACCUUCUAGCCGAUUCGAAUUAAGAUAUAACUCUUCGAGUUUCAACAAUCCGCAAAUAUCAGAAGGGAUUUCACCGUUCAAGGCAUUGUCACUCAAAUCGAGAUUUUUAAGCUGUUGAAGAGACGCGAUCUCUGGAGGGAUUAAACCGGUGAGGUUCGUCCCGGUUAGAAUAAGCUUAGUAAGAGAAGAUGAAAAGGAAGAGAGAUUGGACGGGACAUUUCCAAGUAAAUCUAUAUCUCUCAAAUUGAUCUCAAUAACUUCACCUGCAUAAUUACAGGAAAUUCCAAACCAUUUACAAGGGGUUUGAUGGGUUGAGUCCCAAUUGGAAAGAGAAUCGAUGGAGCCAUUAAGGGUUUGUUUCCAAGAGAGAAGAGCUUCCCCUUGUGGGUUGACGGAGAUGAUGGUGGUUAGAUGAUGAGUAAGAAGGAGAAGGAGGAAGAGAGAGAUGGUAGGAUUGGAAAUGGGGGAAGGCCAUGGAAUAAUUACAGGCAUUAGAAGAGAAAGAAGUUAUAAAUGGGUUUUACAAAUUCCAAUGAAAUGAAAGAGGCACAGAAAGCUGAGGAGAUGGAGUGAUGAAUGAGGAUAUCGAUGAGCUUCUUUCUUCUUCUUCUUGUUCUUCAGUAGAAGAAGAAGCAGCCGCCUUGGGAGAUACAAAUGUUGAAUAUAGAAGAGAGAGAAAGAACCAAAAUCAUGUUUUGUGGGCUAUUUUAAAUAAGAAAAAAAGUGAACAUUUUUAAAAAAAAUAAGGAGAUGCUCCCUCCUCCUUCUCAUCCUCCCACCCAGAAUCUCUGGAUCCAAGAAACACAGCUAGCCAUGAUGUCCUUUCUCUCCUUUAGAGAGAGGAGAGAGAAAAAGUUGGGCUCUGAAUGUGUAGCAGCACAGAAUCAACAGUAAAAAGAUAUAUUGGAAAUUUGAGACCCUGUUUGAUCUCAUGUAAAUUAUUGAAAUUUUAGAUUAUUUGAAUCAAAAUGAUUUUUUUUCUCUUCAA